rnacentral:rRNA from 1 species
GGCGAGCACUCUAGACGAACUGCCGUUGGACAAAACGGAGGAAGGUGGGAUGACGUCAAAUCAUCAUGCCCUUAUGUUCUGGGCUACACACGUGCUACAAUGGCCGGUACAGACGGACGCAAAGCCGCGAGGUGGGAGCAAAUCCUAAAAAGCCGGUCUCAGUUCGGAUUGCAGGCUGCAAUUCGCCUGCAUGAAGUCGGAAUCGCUAGUAAUCGCAGGUCAGCAGGCAGCGGUGAAUACGUUCCCGGGCCUU